UACGGGGGGAGCAAGCGUUGUUCGGAUUUACUGGGCGUAAAGGGCGGGUAGGCGGUCAGCACAAGUCAGUUGUGAAAUCUCCGGGCUUAACUCGGAAAGGUCAACUGAUACUGUGCGACUAGAGUGCAGAAGGGGCAACUGGAAUUCUCGGUGUAGCGGUGAAAUGCGUAGAUAUCGAGAGGAACACCUGCGGCGAAGGCGGGUUGCUGGGCUGACACUGACGCUGAUGCGCGAAAGCCAGGGGAGCGAACGGG
rnacentral:rRNA from 1 species